GAUGAGCGCUGGCGGCGUGCCUAAUACAUGCAAGUCGAGCGAACAGACGAGGAGCUUGCUCCUCUGACGUUAGCGGCGGACGGGUGAGUAACACGUGGAUAACCUACCUAUAAGACUGGGAUAACUUCGGGAAACCGGAGCUAAUACCGGAUAAUAUAUUGAACCGCAUGGUUCAAUAGUGAAAGACGGUUUUGCUGUCACUUAUAGAUGGAUCCGCGCCGCAUUAGCUAGUUGGUAAGGUAACGGCUUACCAAGGCAACGAUGCGUAGCCGACCUGAGAGGGUGAUCGGCCACACUGGAACUGAGACACGGUCCAGACUCCUACGGGAGGCAGCAGUAGGGAAUCUUCCGCAAUGGGCGAAAGCCUGACGGAGCAACGCCGCGUGAGUGAUGAAGGUCUUCGGAUCGUAAAACUCUGUUAUUAGGGAAGAACAAAUGUGUAAGUAACUAUGCACGUCUUGACGGUACCUAAUCAGAAAGCCACGGCUAACUACGCG
rnacentral:rRNA from 1 species